UCAACUUUAGUGAAUGACUGGAGAUCAUACACAUAGUUCUUGGGGACAUUCAGUUUCUGACUCUCCAGAAAUUAUAAAUCUUGAAGAAUACUCAAAAUAUUAUUCAAUGGUGAUGCUAAACACUCUCAAAAGUCUUUGAAACAACUAGAAAAGGACUAAGUUGAUCUAGAUUCACUAUUGCCAAUAGAAAAUCAUCAAGAUAUUUUUCUUCUUUCUCUUGCUUUUGACUUUUAACUUCUUAUGUGGCCCAGGGUGUCCUGCAAAUCUCUCCAUGGCUGAAGUUGACCAUAUUCCAUCUUCCAGACUGAGGUGGCAGCAACAAAACAAAACCCAAGGAAGCAAUUCGACCUAUACCCAGCUUGAUGAGCCUAUCUGCCCCCCCCCCCCCAAGGUUACUUGUGGAAACCUAAGUGAUUGAAAGGCAGCUGUACCCUGCAAAAGCCUCUGCUGGCAUGACUGACUACUCACAAAAGCAGUGUCACUGUAGCUCCUUGAACAACCUUCAGCUAGUUACAACACAGAGGAACACAAUAUCCUCUAUAAUUGUUCAUAAACCUGGAGAGGUGGCCCCAUGAUUCUUAUCAGUUUUGUGAGCUCCUGAGUUUUAUAAGUUUCAUGUGCCUGGUAAGCUUUCCUCUUCUGUCAGGGAAUGUUUGUAUCAAAAUACACAAGAUAUAAUUCACAGACCAUAUGAAGCUCAAAAGAAGGAAGACCAAAGUGUGGAUGCUCCAGUUCUUAAUAAAAGGGUGAAAAAUACUCACCAGAGGUAGAGAGUGGGAGGAAAUUGGAAAGAAAAGAGGUGUGGAAGGGGAAAAAUGGGGCGGGGGCAGGUCAGGUAUGUGAGGAAGCAGGAUGAUAUACAGAGGGUCAGGAAUUUGAUCACAGGUGUAUAGCAAUGGGAAUGGGGAACUGGGGGUAGCCACCAGCAAGUCACAGAUGCCAGGAAAGCAAGAGUCUCCCAGGACCCAACAGGGAUGAGUUAGCUGAAAUGCCCAACAAAGGGGGGGGGAGAGCCUGUAGAGACCAUAUCCAGAGGUUAGGCAAGGCCUCCAGUUGGGGUAUGGGGCCACCCAUUCAUCUCCAAAUUUUUAACCCAGAAUUGAUCUUGUCUAAAGGAAAUACAGAGAGGAAGUAUGUAGCAGAGACUGAAGAAAAGGCCAUCCAGAGAUUGCCUCACUUGGGAAUCUAUCUCAUAUAUAGCCAUCAAACCCAAACACUUAUUGUGGAUGCCACAAAGUGCUUGCUGACAGGAACUUGCUAUAGCCAUCUCCUGAGAGGCUCUGCUUCAGCCUGACAAGUACAGAGGCAGAUGCUCACAGCCAACCAUUGGACUGAGCACGGGGUCCCCGAUGGAGGAGUAACCCUAUAGGAAGAAUAACAGUAUCCAAUAACCAGACCCCCCCACACAUCCCCAGGAGAUCCCAGUGACUAAACCACUAGCCAAAGAGUACACAUGGAGUGACCCAUGCCCCCAGAGGCAUAUGUAGCAAAGGAUAUCUUUGUGGGGCAUCAAUGAAAAGAGAGGCCCUUGGCCUUGUGAAGGCAAGAUGCCCCAGUGUAAGAGAAUGCCAGGGUGGGGAGGCAGGAGUGGGUGUGUGGGUAAAGGAGCACCCUCAUAGAAGCAAGGGGAGGG
rnacentral:lncRNA from 1 species